CUAACGCAUUAAGCACUCCGCCUGGGGAGUACGGUCGCAAGACUGAAACUCAAAGGAAUUGACGGGGGCCCGCACAAGCGGUGGAGCAUGUGGUUUAAUUCGAAGCAACGCGAAGAACCUUACCAGGUCUUGACAUCCCGCUGACCGUUCUAGAGAUAGAUCUUUCCCUUCGGGGACAGCGGUGACAGGUGGUGCAUGGUUGUCGUCAGCUCGUGUCGUGAGAUGUUGGGUUAAGUCCCGCAACGAGCGCAACCCUUGAUCUUAGUUGCCAGCAUUYAGUUGGGCACUCUAAGGUGACUGCCGGUGAUAAACCGGAGGAAGGUGGGGAUGACGUCAAAUCAUCAUGCCCCUUAUGACCUGGGCUACACACGUGCUACAAUGGACGGUACAGAGGGUCGCAACCCCGCGAGGGUGAGCUAAUCCCAUAAAACCGUUCUCAGUUCGGAUUGUAGGCUGCAACUCGCCUACAUGAAGCCGGAAUCGCUAGUAAUCGUGGAUCAGCAUGCCACGGUGAAUACGUUCCCGGGCCUUGUACACACCGCCCGUCACACCACGAGAGUUUGUAACACCCGAAG
rnacentral:rRNA from 1 species